rnacentral:RNase_P_RNA from 1 species
UAGGUACAACAGGCGAUAGCUUGAAUAUGUAUUCAAGAGGUAAAGUCCGGGCUGCCGUAGGACACGGUUCCAUCUAACGGAUGGCCACGGUAACGUGAGGGAUAGUGCAACAGAGAGUAGACCGCCUCAUAUACGAAAACGUUGGAAACGUUUUUGUGCUUUAGUGCCAUAGCGGCUAGCGUAGGAGUCGGGGACUUUGUUCGCGGCUCCGUUUCAUAAAGUAUAUGAGGUGAGGGUGAAACGGCGGGGUAAGAGCCCACCAGUCUCUUAGGCAACUAGGGGAGCUAUGUAAACCCAACCGCGCAGCAAGAAACAGAUGGUUAGCGUCCUACAUCGCUAUUGUUUCGCUAGAGGUCUAGAGUGAUCUAGGCAGUAGAUUAAUUAUCGCUUCAUCCAGAACCCGGCUUACGUUGUGCCUAUUUU